rnacentral:rRNA from 1 species
AAAGGAAUAGACGGGGAGGCACACAACCAGAGGAACAUGUGGUUUAAUUCGACACAAAACGAAGAACCUUACCAAGGCUUGACAUGCUAGCGUUCUAUUUCCUGGAAACAGGAGAAAUCCGCAAGGAGGCUAGCACCGGUGAUGCAUGGCUGUCGUCAGUUCGUUCCGUGAGGAGUGCCCUUAAGUGGGACAACGAACGCAACCCCUGUCGUCUGUUACAAGUGUCAGAUGAUACUGCCCUACAGUUUUGUGGGGAGGAAGGCGGGGCAGACGUCAAGUCAGCACGUCCCUUAUGUCUUGGGCUACACACAUGUUACAAUGGACCACAACAAUGAGUAUUGCAAGCCAGCGAUGGCAAGCUAAUCUCACAAAUUGGUCCUCAGUGGGGAUUGGAGUCUGCAACUCGACUCCAUGAACUUGGAUUUGGUAGUAAUCGCGGGUCAGCUAUACCGCGGUGAAUACGUUCUUGCCUCUUGCACACACCGCCCGU